rnacentral:rRNA from 1 species
AAUCACUGACCAUACCUUAGGCACUUGCCUCCCUUGCGGGUUAGCUCAGUGACUUCUAGUACAGCCAGCUUUCGUGAUGUGACGGGCGGUGUGUACAAGGCCCGGGAACGUAUUCACCGCGGCGUGCUGAUCCGCGAUUACUAGCGAUUCCAACUUCAUGCAGGCGAGUUGCAGCCUGCAAUCCGAACUGAGACCGGCUUUCUCCGAUUAGCUCCACCUUGCGGUAUCGCGACGGUUUGUACCGGCCAUUGUAGCACGUGUGUAGCCCCAGACAUAAAGGCCAUGCUGACUUGACGUCAUCCCCACCUUCCUCCGGUUUAUCACCGGCAGUCUCCGCAGAGUGCCCACCAUAACGUGAUGGCAACAGCGGACAAGGGUUGCGCUCGUUGCGGGACUUAACCCAACAUCUCACGACACGAGCUGACGACAGCCAUGCAGCACCUCGACAUCGGCCCUUGCGGGAGCCGGC